rnacentral:rRNA from 1 species
CUACGGGCUGCUCCAGUAAGGAAUAUUGCGCAAUGGAGGCAACUCUGACGCAGCCAUGCCGCGUGCAGGAAGAAGGCCUUAUGGGUCGUAAACUGCUUUUAUUUAGGAAUAAACCCCCGAAGGUGUUCGGGGCCGAAGGUACUAAACGAAUAAGCACCGGCUAACUCCGUGCCAGCAGCCGCGGUAAUACGGAGGGUGCAAGCGUUAUCCGGAUUUAUUGGGUUUAAAGGGUGCGCAGGCGGGCUAUUAAGUCAGUGGUGAAAUCCCGGGGCUCAACUCCGGAACUGCCAUUGAUACUGAUAGUCUUGAGUUUGGUUGAAGUGGGCGGAAUGUAGCAUGUAGCGGUGAAAUGCAUAGAUAUGCUACAGAACACCAAUCGCGAAGGCAGCUCACUAAGCCAAAACUGACGCUCAUGCACGAAAGCGUGGGGAUCAAACAGGAUUAGAUACCCCUGUAGUC